rnacentral:rRNA from 1 species
GGUCAAGUGACUACGGCGCACGGUGGAUGCCUUGGCACUUCGAGCCGAUGAAGGGCGCGGUAUGACUGCGAUAAGCCAGGAGGAGCCGUCAAGCAGGCUGAUCCCUGGAUUCCCGAAUGGGGCAACCCGGUGGCGGUAAUGCGCCAUCACCCCAGGUUGAACACAUAGACCUGGUGGGGGUAAGCGGGGGAAAUGAAACAUCUAAGUACCCCGAGGAACAGAAACAAUUCCGGUAGUAGCGGCGAGCGAACCCGGAGCAGCCCAAACCGAUUGAGCCUAAUGGAGCCCUCUCCUCUGCUCAGCCGGUGUUGUAGGGCGUUGCAUUCGCACCGAGGGUGGUGCGACAGCAGUUACAAACUGCGCGGGUAGGCGAAGGCCCCUGGAACGGGCCGCCACAGACGGUGAGAGCCCGGUAGCCGACACCCGACGCAGCUGCUGGCAGCGUCCCUGAGUACCACGCGACACGGUGAAAGCGCGUGGGAAGCUGGGGAGCCCACUUCCCAAGGCUAAAUACUCGAAGUGACCGAUAGCGGACCAGUACCGUGAGGGAAAGGUGAAAAGAACCCCGGGAGGGGAGUGAAACAGUUCCUGAAACCGUGUGCUUUCAAGCAGUGAGAGGCCCGUCACUGGGCUGAUCGCGUGCCUAUUGAAGAAUGAACCGGUGAGUUACGUUUUGUGGCGAGGUUAAGGCAUUCUGUGCCGCAGCCGCAGCGAAAGCGAGUCUGAACAGGGCGAAGCGAGUCGCAAGACGUAGACCCGAAACCAGGUGAGCUACCCAUGGGCAGGGUGAAGCGGGAGUAAAGCCCCGUGGAGGCCCGAACCUUCUUCAGUUGCAAAUGGAUUGGAUGACCUGUGGGUAGAGGUGAAAUGCCAAGCGAACCUGGCGAUAGCUGGUUCUCCCCGAAAUGCCUUUAGGGGCAGCGUUGCGGGAAACGACCGUGGAGGUAGGGCUCUGACUGGGUACGGGGGCGGACAGCCUACCAACCCCUAUCAAACCGCGAAUGCCACGGCCGAACCUGCGGCAGUGAGACUGUGGGGGAUAAGCUUCAUGGUCAAAAGGGAAACAGCCCAGACCGCCGGCUAAGGUCCCGAAAUUUCCGCUCAGUGGGAAAGGAAGUCCAGUCGCGCAGACAACCAGGAGGUUGGCUUAGAAGCAGCCAUCCUUGAAAGAGUGCGUAAUAGCUCACUGGUCGAGUGAUUGGGCGCCGACAAUUCAACGGGGCUCAAGCGGAAUACCGAAGCCGCGGAUCUGGCUCUCAGUUCGCUGGGGGUCAGGUGGUAGGGGAGCGUUCCGUUCAGCAGUGAAGGCGGACCCGCGAGGGCCGCUGGAGCGGACGGAAGUGAGAAUGCCGGUAUGAGUAGCGAAAGGCGUGUGAGAACCACGCCCACCGAAUACCUCAGGGUUCCUACGGCAGGGCAAUCCGCGUAGGGUUAGGCGGGCCUAAGCCGAGGCCGAAAGGCGUAGGCGAUGGACAGACGGUUCAUAUUCCGUCCCCGCUGAGUGUGUGCCUGAGCGACAGGGGCGACCCGGGAAGAUAGCGUGAGCGGGCCUAUUGGACAUGGUCCGUCGCGCCGCGUACGCGUCGAGCGGGGCUCAAAGACCGCUCGGUUAAGCAGAGGCGGCGCGGAAGCGGCGACGUCAGUCAAAGCGACUCGUGUGACACCCUCGGCCAGAAAACCCUCGGUCGCGAAUACAUUCAGCGCCCGUACCGCACACCGACACAGGUAGGUGAGGGUAAGUACCUCCAGGUGGACGAGUGAUUCCUCGCUAAGGAACUCGGCAAAAUAGUUCCGUAACUUCGGGAGAAGGAACGCCUCGCGGCUGGUCCCCGACUCGCUCGGGCGAACGGCCGGAGGUCGCAGUGAGCAGGCCCAGGCGACUGUUUAACAAAAACACAGGUCUCUGCGAACGCGAAAGCGGACGUAUAGGGGCUGACGCCUGCCCAGUGCUGGAAGGUUAAGGGGAGGGCUUCACGGCUCGAACCGAAGCCCCAGUGAACGGCGGCCGUAACUAUAACGGUCCUAAGGUAGCGAAAUUCCUUGUCGGG